AGUGAUCGCUGGCGGCGUGCUUAACACAUGCAAGUCGUAGCGGAUUUUAGCAGCUUAUCGCUAAAAGUUAGCGGCAGACGGGUGAGUAAUAUUUGGGCAAUCUACCCUCGAGUGGAAAACAACCUUCCGAAAGGAGGGCUAAUGUUCCAUAAGACCACAGAAGGACAUCCUUCAGGGGUCAAAGCUCCGCAAGGGGCGCUUGAGGAGGAGCCCGAAUCCUAUCAGCUAGUGGUGAGGUAAUGGCUCACCAAGGCUUUGACGGGUAGCCGGCCUGAAAGGGUGAUCGGCCACACUGGCACUGAGACACGGGCCAGA
rnacentral:rRNA from 1 species